UACAGGGGGUGCAAGCGUUACUCGGAAUCAUUGGGCGUAAAGAGCGUGUAGGUGGCUCGUUCAGUCAAAUGUGAAAUCCCUGGGCUCAAUCCAGGAACUGCAUUUGAUACUGGCAGGCUAGAGUACAGGAGAGGUAAGCGGAAUUCCUGGUGUAGAGGUGAAAUUCGUAGAUAUCAGGAGGAACAACAGUGGCGAAGGCGGCUUACUGGACUGUAACUGACACUUAGGCGCGAAAGCGUGGGGAGCAUACAGG
rnacentral:rRNA from 1 species